UAAUAAAUCUGUCAAUAGCUGCAUGAUACGACUGCUUGCAGGCAGUAUCAUGCAGCUAUUUGACGGAUAAACACACAUGAGCAUGUAGGGAGAUAGCCCGGAAUGCGAAUGUGUGUUGCGGAUUCGAGAGUUCGAAGAACGUAGAAGCCGCAUUUAUUA
rnacentral:sRNA from 1 species